rnacentral:pre_miRNA from 1 species
AGGUUUGAGCUUGGUAACAGGGGAACCUAGACUGUAAUUUGCUGCUUGCUUUGAUUCCCUUCGUCCUUCCACCGCCAUUCCAGUCUUUGCAGUCACUGUUUCCGAAAAGUUUCGAGAAAAGGAAGAACACUGCUUGGACGCAAGCUCGUCUUGACUCGUUGUGGUGGUUUGGAUUUGUGCAUUUGCGCCAAGGAUUUCGAGUUUCUUGUCUGCUUUCGUCUGGAGGAGAUCGAUGUAUGCUUGUGCUCUAGGUUCCCUUGUUUCCAAAUUCAAGUCUGGUA